rnacentral:misc_RNA from 1 species
UUGUUUUUUCCUUUUUAAAAAAAUAAGAAUAAUAAUUUUAAUAUGUAUGUAUGUAAAGGUACGAAAUAAAAGUCCAUGAAUGAAAUAAAUUAAAAGCAUUUUUAAAUCUCACCAAAGAUAUUGAAAAGGCUCCACCAGAAGAAGUAGGGAUUGAUGAUGUACUUGUUCAAGAAAGUGUUCGUCCUCUUAUUAUUCCUCCUCUUAUUAUUCCUUCUGUUCAGCAUAGCCAUGUUGAGAUUUCACCUUAACUUGU